UAGACAUACCUAACAAAACAUAGAACAAAAGUCAAAAAUCUAUUUAAGCUUACCGUUAUUAUUUACUCAAAUUCUAUUUCCAUCACUUUUCUGUAAAUUAAUAAUAAUAAUUAAAAUAGAUUGUUUUUCGCUCGUGCCUCAAGUUUCAACUUCAAAAUAGCUAAAAAAAAAAAGGUCAAUACAAAAAAUAGAUAUUAAAAAGCGAGGCAGCACGUAAUAAAUAUUGACAAAGGCCAUUUCUAUUUUUAAAGCAAUAUUAAAAAAAGAACAAAAUAAGAAAGAAAUUGUGAACCUGAGGCUUAUUGGUACUUGCUCCUGUACUCAGAAAAAAAAGAACAUUGACAAACUUUAGCACAAACAACUGGUAUUGUCAUGGAUUUUUGAUUUUGUUUGAUUUUUUAUCCUCAGUAUGGCUAUGUACGUAAAGUAGCUUAGACAAGGGUAUAAAGUGUACACAUUUUGCAAUCAAAUCCAGAAGCAAAAAAGUAUACCCAAAAUGAAAAUGUCAUAAAAAUAUUUUCAUACCUACAAAUAAUAUGAAUACCUACCUGAAAAAACCGUAGGCUAUUAUUAUGAUGACCUCUAUCAUUUACGCGCAUGUCGAGGAAGCGUAUAAUAAUUUUCCGGUUUACUAUAUUUUAUCUCUAAAAAAAAAAAAAAACAAAUAAAUAAAUAGAAAAAAUUGCAAGGACACAAAUCUAGUGAAAGUGAUUUGGAAAAGUUUCCAUUUGUGGUUGAAAUAAAGUCCAUUAUUAUGUUAAUUUAAA